rnacentral:rRNA from 1 species
UACGGGGGGGGGUAAGCGUUGUUCGGAAUUACUGGGCGUAAAGGCUCGUAGGCGGCCAACUAAGUCAUACGUGAAAUCCCUCAGCUUAACUGGGGAACUGCGUGUGAUACUGGAUGGCUUGGAUUUGGGAGAGGGAUGCGGAAUUCCAGGUGUAGCGGUGAAAUACGUAGAUAUCUGGAGGAACACCGGUGGCGAAGGCGGCAUCCUGGACCAAUAUUGACGCUGAGGAGCGAAAGCUAGGGGAGCAAACGGG